AACGAACGCUGGCGGCAGGCUUAACACAUGCAAGUCGAACGCAUCCUUCGGGGUGAGUGGCAGACGGGUGAGUAACACGUGGGAACGUACCUUUCGGUUCGGGAUAACCCAGGGAAACUUGGGCUAAUACCGGAUACGUCCUUAGGGAGAAAGAUUCAUUGCCGAAAGAUCGGCCCGCGUCUGAUUAGCUAGUUGGUGAGGUAACGGCUCACCAAGGCGACGAUCAGUAGCUGGUCUGAGAGGAUGAUCAGCCACACUGGGACUGAGACACGGCCCAGACUCCUACGGGAGGCAGCAGUGGGGAAUAUUGGACAAUGGGCGCAAGCCUGAUCCAGCCAUGCCGCGUGAGUGAUGAAGGCCCUAGGGUUGUAAAG
rnacentral:rRNA from 1 species